rnacentral:rRNA from 1 species
AGUGAACGCUGGCGGUAGGCCUUACACAUGCAAGUCGAACGGCAGCACAGUAAGAGCUUGCUAUUACGGGUGGCGAGUGGAGGACGGGUGAGGAAUACAUCGGAAUCUACUUUUUCGUGGUGGAUUACGUAGGGAAACUUAUGCUAAUACCACAUACGACCUACGGGUGAAAGAAUGUGAUCUUCGGAUCUUGCGCGAUUGCAUGAGCUGAUGUCGGAGUAUCUAGAUGGCGUGGUAAAGGCCCGCCAAGGCGACGAGACUGAGCUGGUCUGAGAGGAUGAUUAGCCACACUGGAACAGAGACACGCUAAAGACUCUUACGGGAGAAAGCAGUGGGGAAUAUUGCACAAGGGGCGAAAACAUGAUACAGACAUACCGCGUGGGUGAAGAUGGCUUUAGGGUUGUAAAGCCUUUUCGUUGGGAAAGUAAAGAAGCAGGUUAAUACCGCGCAGUUAUGACGGUACCCAAAGAAUAAGCACCGGCUAACUCCGUG